rnacentral:tRNA from 1 species
GCCCACGUAGCUCAGUUGGUAGAGCAUUUCCAUGGUAAGGAAAAGGUCAGCAGUUCAAACCUGCUCGUGGGCU